UACGUAGGGUGCGAGCGUUGUCCGGAAUUAUUGGGCGUAAAGGGCUCGUAGGCGGUUUGUCGCGUCGGGAGUGAAAACCUUGGGCUUAACUCAGGGCUUGCUUUCGAUACGGGCAGACUAGAGGUAUGCAGGGGAGAACGGAAUUCCUGGUGUAGCGGUGAAAUGCGCAGAUAUCAGGAGGAACACCGGUGGCGAAGGCGGUUCUCUGGGCAUGAUCUGACGCUGAGGCACGAAAGCGUGGGGAGCAAACAGG
rnacentral:rRNA from 1 species